rnacentral:rRNA from 1 species
AGUGAACGCUGGCGGUAGGCCUAACACAUGCAAGUCGAACGGCAGCACAGUAAGAGCUUGCUCUUACGGGUGGCGAGUGGCGGACGGGUGAGGAAUACAUCGGAAUCUACUUUUUCGUGGGGGAUAACGUAGGGAAACUUACGCUAAUACCGCAUACGACCUACGGGUGAAAGCAGCGGAUCUUCGGACCUUGCGCGAUUGAAUGAGCCGAUGUCGGAUUAGCUAGUUGGCGGGGUAAAGGCCCACCAAGGCGACGAUCCGUAGCUGGUCUGAGAGGAUGAUCAGCCACACUGGAACUGAGACACGGUCCAGACUCCUACGGGAGGCAGCAGUGGGGAAUAUUGGACAAUGGGCGCAAGCCUGAUCCAGCCAUACCGCGUGGGUGAAGAAGGCCUUCGGGUUGUAAAGCCCUUUUGUUGGAAAAGAAAAGCAGCAGGUUAAUACCCCGCUGUUCUGACGGUACCCAAAGAAUAAGCACCGGCUAACUUCGUG